rnacentral:rRNA from 1 species
UACGUAGGGGCCUAGCGUUGUCCGGAAUUAUUGGGCGUAAAGAGCUCGUAGGCGGUUCGGCAAGUCGGAUGUGAAAUCUCCACGCUCAACGUGGAGGGGCCAUUCGAAACUGCCGUGACUCGAGUCCGGUAGGGGAGUGUGGAAUUCCCGGUGUAGCGGUGAAAUGCGUAGAUAUCAGGAGGAACACCGGUGGCGAAGGCGGGUCUCUGGGCCGAUACUGACGCUGAGGAGCGAAAGCGUGGGGAGCGAACAGG